rnacentral:rRNA from 1 species
UCCGUAGGGUGCGAGCGUUAAUCGGAAUUACUGGGCGUAAAGCGUGCGCAGGCGGUUUUGUAAGCCAGAUGUGAAAGCCCCGGGCUUAACCUGGGAAUGGCAUUUGGGACUGCAAGGCUGGAGUGUGGCAGAGGAGACUGGAAUUCCUGGUGUAGCAGUGAAAUGCGUAGAUAUCAGGAGGAAUACCGAUGGCGAAGGCAGGUCUCUGGGCUGACACUGACGCUCAUGCACGAAAGCGUGGGGAGCAAACAGG